rnacentral:rRNA from 1 species
CAAUGGACGCAAGUCUGAACCAGCCAUGCCGCGUGAAGGAUGAAGGUCCUCUGGAUUGUAAACUUCUUUUAUCUGAGACGAAAACGGGAUUUUUAUCUCAAUUGACGGUACCAGAGGAAUAAGCAUCGGCUAACUUCGUGCCAGCAGCCGCGGUAAUACGAAGGAUGCAAGCGUUAUCCGGAAUUAUUGGGUUUAAAGGGUGCGUAGGCGGACUAAUAAGUCAGUGGUGAAAGCCUGCAGCUUAACUGCAGAAUUGCAAUUGAUACUGUUAGUCUUGAGUACAGUUGAGGUAGGCGGAAUGUGUCAUGUAGCGGUGAAAUGCGUAGAUAUGACACAGAACACCGAUUGCGAAGGCAGCUUGCUAAGCUGUAACUGACGCUGAGGCACGAAAGCGUGGGGAGCAAACA